UACGGAGGGAGCUAGCGUUGUUCGGAAUUACUGGGCUUAAAGCGCACGUAGGCGGCUGUGUAAGUUAGAGGUGAAAGCCUGGGGCUCAACCCCAGAAUUGCCUUUAAGACUGCAUCGCUUGAAUCCAGGAGAGGUGAGUGGAAUUCCGAGUGUAGAGGUGAAAUUCGUAGAUAUUCGGAAGAACACCAGUUGCGAAGGCGGCUCACUGGACUGGUAUUGACGCUGAGGUGCGAAAGCGUGGGGAGCAAACAGG
rnacentral:rRNA from 1 species